rfam:Vitis vinifera, whole genome shotgun sequence of line PN40024, unoriented chromosome 11, chr11
UUAAUGCACAGAAUAUUGGUAAAGUAUGUACAAACAGUUACGCAGGCUUUAUGUGGGCAAGUGAUUAGCAUCAGGUUGCCCAUAAAGGACCUACAUACAUAC